AAGUCGUAACAAGGUUUCCGUAGGUGAACCUGCGGAAGGAUCAUUACCGAGUCUUUGAACGGGGUUGUCGCUGGCGUUCUCGUAAGAGAGCGCAUGUGCACGCCUGGCUCAUCCACUCUUCAACCCCUGUGCACCAUCUGUAAGAAAAAAAAAGGAGAUGGUCGAAGGUCAAGCUUUUUCAUUAGAGCUAGGCUGGAGGUCUGUUCCUUUUUCUUCUUAUGUUUAUCAUAAACACUUCAGUUAUAAGAAUGUCUUGUUGUGUAUAACACAAAUAAUACAACUUUCAGCAACGGAUCUCUUGGCUCUC
rnacentral:misc_RNA from 1 species